GGGCGUAAGCGUACGCAGGCGGUUUGUUAAGCGAGAUGUGAAAGCCCCGGGCUCAACCUGGGAACUGCAUUUCGAACUGGCAAACUAGAGUGUGAUAGAGGGUGGUAGAAUUUCAGGUGUAGCGGUGAAAUGCGUAGAGAUCUGAAGGAAUACCGAUGGCGAAGGCAGCCACCUGGGUCAACACUGACGCUCAUGUACGAAAGCGUGGGGAGCAAACAGGAUUAGAUACCCUGGUAGUCCACGCCGUAAACGAUGUCUACUAGAAGCUCGGCUCUUCGGAGUUGUUUUUCAAAGCUAACGCAUUAAGUAGACCGCCUGGGGAGUACGGCCGCAAGGUUAAAACUCAAAUGAAUUGACGGGGGCCCGCACAAGCGGUGGAGCAUGUGGUUUAAUUCGAUGCAACGCGAAGAACCUUACCUACACUUGACAUACAGAGAACUUACCAGAGAUGGUUUGGUGCCUUCGGGAACUCUGAUACA
rnacentral:rRNA from 1 species